UGGGGAAUAUUGCACAAUGGGCGAAAGCCUGAUGCAGCGACGCCGCGUGCGGGAUGAAGGCUCUAGGGUUGUAAACCGCUUUCAGCAGGGAUGAGGCCGAAAGGUGACAGUACCUGCAGAAGAAGCCCCGGCUAACUACGUGCCAGCAGCCGCGGUAAUACGUAGGGGGCAAGCGUUAUCCGGAUUCAUUGGGCGUAAAGCGCGCGUAGGCGGUCUGUUAGGUCAGGAGUCAAAUCCGGGGGCUCAACCCCCGUUCGCUUCUGAUACCGGCAGACUUGAGUUUGGUAGGGGAAGGUGGAAUUCCCAGUGUAGCGGUGGAAUGCGCAGAUAUUGGGAAGAACACCGGUGGCGAAGGCGGCCUUCUGGGCCAUAACUGACGCUGAGGCGCGAAAGCUAGGGGAGCGAACAGG
rnacentral:rRNA from 1 species